UGAGGAAUAUUGGACAAUGGGCGCGAGCCUGAUCCAGCCAUGCCGCGUGCAGGAAGAAGCAUCUAUGGUGUGUAAACUGCUUUUGUACGGGAAGAAACACUCCUUCGUGAGGGAGCUUGACGGUACCGUAAGAAUAAGGAUCGGCUAACUCCGUGCCAGCAGCCGCGGUAAUACGGAGGAUCCAAGCGUUAUCCGGAAUCAUUGGGUUUAAAGGGUCCGUAGGCGGUUUAGUAAGUCAGUGGUGAAAGCCCAUCGCUCAACGAUGGAACGGCCAUUGAUACUGCUAGACUUGAAUUACAAGGAAGUAACUAGAAUAUGUAGUGUAGCGGUGAAAUGCUUAGAUAUUACAUGGAAUACCAAUUGCGAAGGCAGGUUACUACUUGUGGAUUGACGCUGAUGGACGAAAGCGUGGGGAGCGAACA
rnacentral:rRNA from 1 species